rnacentral:rRNA from 1 species
AUUACGGGAGGCAGCAGUGGGGAAUAUUGGACAAUGGGCCACAAGCCUGAUCCAGCAAUUCUGUGUGCACGAUGAAGGUCUUCGGAUCGUAAAGUGCUUUCAGUUGGGAAGAAGAAAGUGACGGUACCAACAGAAGAAGCGACGGCUAAAUACGUGCCAGCAGCCGCGGUAAUAAU